CCUACGGGAGGCAGCAGUGGGGAAUAUUGCACAAUGGGCGCAAGCCUGAUGCAGCGACGCCGCGUGGGGGAUGACGGCCUUCGGGUUGUAAACUCCUUUCGCCAGGGACGAAGCGUUUUGUGACGGUACCUGGAGAAGAAGCACCGGCUAACUACGUGCCAGCAGCCGCGGUAAUACGUAGGGUGCAAGCGUUGUCCGGAAUUACUGGGCGUAAAGAGCUCGUAGGUGGUUUGUCACGUCGUCUGUGAAAUUCCACAGCUUAACUGUGGGCGUGCAGGCGAUACGGGCUGACUUGAGUACUGUAGGGGUAACUGGAAUUCCUGGUGUAGCGGUGAAAUGCGCAGAUAUCAGGAGGAACACCGAUGGCGAAGGCAGGUUACUGGGCAGUUACUGACGCUGAGG
rnacentral:rRNA from 1 species